rnacentral:rRNA from 1 species
GAUGAACGCUGGCGGCGUGCCUAAUACAUGCAAGUCGAGCGAACAGACGAGGAGCUUGCUCCUCUGACGUUAGCGGCGGACGGGUGAGUAACACGUGGAUAACCUACCUAUAAGACUGGGAUAACUUCGGGAAACCGGAGCUAAUACCGGAUAAUAUAUUGAACCGCAUGGUUCAAUAGUGAAAGACGGUUUUGCUGUCACUUAUAGAUGGAUCCGCGCCGCAUUAGCUAGUUGGUAAGGUAACGGCUUACCAAGGCGACGAUGCGUAGCCGACCUGAGAGGGUGAUCGGCCACACUGGAACUGAGACACGGUCCAGACUCCUACGGGAGGCAGCAGUAGGGAACCUUCCGCAAUGGGCGAAAGCCUGACGGAGCAACGCCGCGUGAGUGAUGAAGGUCUUCGGAUCGUAAAACUCUGUUAUUAGGGAAGAACAAAUGUGUAAGUAACUAUGCCCGUCUUGACGGUACCUAAUCAGAAAGCCACGGCUAACUACGUG